rnacentral:rRNA from 1 species
GACGAACGCUGGCGGCGUGCUUAACACAUGCAAGUCGAACGAAGAGCGAUGGAAGCUUGCUUCUAUCAAUCUUAGUGGCGAACGGGUGAGUAACGCGUAAUCAACCUGCCCUUCAGAGGGGGACAACAGUUGGAAACGACUGCUAAUACCGCAUACGAUCUAAACUCGGCAUCGAGGAUAGAUGAAAGGUGGCCUCUACAUGUAAGCUAUCACUGAAGGAGGGGAUUGCGUCUGAUUAGCUAGUUGGAGGGGUAACGGCCCACCAAGGCGAUGAUCAGUAGACGGUCUGAGAGGAUGAACGGCCACAUUGGGACUGAGACACGGCCCAGACUCCUACGGGAGGCAGCAGUGGGGAAUCUUCCGCAAUGGACGAAAGUCUGACGGAGCAACGCCGCGUGAGUGAUGACGGCCUUCGGGUUGUAAAGCUCUGUUAAUCGGGACGAAAGGCCUUCUUGCGAAUAGUGAGAAGGAUUGACGGUACCGGAAUAGAAAGCCACGGCUAACUACGUG